rnacentral:rRNA from 1 species
UACGAAGGGGGCUAGCGUUGUUCGGAAUUACUGGGCGUAAAGCGCACGUAGGCGGAUAUUUAAGUUAGGGGUGAAAUCCCAGGGCUCAACCCUGGAACUGCCUUUAAUACUGGGUAUCUCGAGUCCGAGAGAGGUGAGUGGAAUUCCGAGUGUAGAGGUGAAAUUCGUAGAUAUUCGGAAGAACACCAGUGGCGAAGGCGACUCGCUGGACAGACAUUGACGCUGAGGUGCGAAAGCGUGGGGAGCAAACAGG